rnacentral:tRNA from 1 species
UGGAGGUGCGGGGGAUCGAACCAAGGGCUUUUCGCAUGCAAAGCGAACGCUCUACGACAGAGCUACACCCCC